rnacentral:rRNA from 1 species
ACAGAAGAAGAGACCAAGAUGAAGGAGUCUGAGCUAAUGCGAGGAAACCCGCUGAUCAAUAUGAAUAACUUCUGCUCCUUCGACAUUAGGUGGGAGGAUGAUGAUGAUGUUGUAUUUAAGAUGCAGGGUCAUGGAGAGACCAAGACACCGAAACGGUUCAUCAACUACACUGUCAUAAGUGAUUUCCACCGCAAGUUUCUGCAUAGGUAACUGAAAUGUUGUUGUUGUAUGCUUUAUGUCGCCUGGACAGUUUGCAUGCUGGUGUUGGAAGAGCCUGUGAUGUUCUUUAUUCUGAAGACUAAUUUGUAUGACAUACAUAACUGUAACAUCCACGAUAUCUUGAUGCUGAUAUGA